ACAAUAGCAGACUUAGCUGCACUCAUUUUUCUAUUGCACAUUCUGCACUGCUGCACAUUCUCCACUCCAGCUCUGCAUGAACCCAGUAUAUUUAUAAUGUAGAACCUAUUUUUAAUACUACCCAGUAGUUUUGUUUCUUCUGCCUAGUUUUUCCAAAAGACCUCACUGUGUGUGUGAUUCAAUUACCAUUUUGACUGCACUGUUGCCAUGCCAAAGAUCUAAACUUUUGGAUCUUUAAACAGAGGGACAUGUCCAGCCCAAUCCUACUAUAUUCAGUGGCCUUUCUCUAAGG